UAUGGGAGUGUGUGUGUGUGUGUGUGUGUAUGUAUGUGCAUAUAUAUAUAUAUAUAUAUAUAUAUAUAUACACAUACAUACACACACACACACACACACUCCCAUACA
rnacentral:miRNA from 1 species